AGUGCCACCUAUAUUUCGCGGGAGAGCUUAUUUCACCAGCGAAGAAAAAGUAAACGGCAUUUGCUUCUUGUCCCUUUCAAUAAAAGCAUACAAAUCAAUCAUAGUUUUCAUUUCUUUGGGCCUUUCUCUCCUUUUUUUUUUUUUUUUUGUUUUCUUCAAAGAUUCUUGGAUUUACACUUCACAAUAAGAAAAAAGAAAGUUGGUGUCUCAGCUUGCAACUAUCUUGGAUACAGUCUCUCUCUGGUCAAGGUUAGUCUACUGAUACACAAAUGGCUAUAAAGAAAAAUAGGUUCAUUCCAAGUUCUGCACCAGAAGAACUGAAGAAAGUUUUGAAAGCAGUGGCAUCCGAAUGGGGAGAUAUGAUACAAGAUAUGGAAGAAUUUCAUGUGAUUCCACUUAAGGGAGCUAUGACUAACGAGGUUUUUCAGAUAAACUGGCCUACAAAACAUGCUGAUCUUCAUCAGAAAGUGUUGGUCCGGAUUUAUGGUGAAGGUGUGGAAGUGUUUUUCAAUAGGGAUGAUGAGAUUAGGACCUUUGAGUGCAUGUCCAAGCACGGUCAAGGACCUAGGCUUCUUGGGCGGUUUCCAGAUGGAAGGAUUGAGGAGUUCAUUCAUGCCCGGACGCUCUCUGCUGCUGACCUCCGUGACCCUGGAAUAUCUGCUCUUGUAGCAGCUAAAUUGAGAGAGUUCAACAAUCUUGGCAUGCCUGGUCCAAAGGAUGUACUUCUCUGGGAGCGAUUGAGGUACUAUUAUCCAUAUGUGACGUUAUUGCUUUUAUAUUUUGAGUUGAAAGUAUAUGAUCCCUUUUUGCUUCAUACCAGGACCUGGCUUAGUCAGGCAAAAAAAAUCAGUUCCCCAGAAGCUGCAAAAGAAUUUGGCUUGGAUAUUCUGGGAGAGGAAAUCAGCAUCCUAGAAAAAGAGUUAACACAGGGCUAUCAAGAGAUUGGGUUUUGUCACAAUGAUUUGCAAUACGGUAACAUAAUGAUGGAUGAAGAGACAAGAGCAAUUACAUUAAUCGACUAUGAGUAUGCAAGCUACAAUCCUGUUGCUUAUGAUCUUGCAAAUCACUUCUGUGAGAUGGCAGCAAAUUAUCAUUCUGAGACUCCCCAUAUUUUGGACUACAGCAUAUACCCUGAUAUGGAGGAGCGCCGAAGAUUCAUCUGUGCAUAUCUGGCAUCUUCAGGAAAUGAACCCAGUGACGCCGAAGUGGAGCAGCUACUUAUGGAUGCAGAGAAAUACACUCUUGCUAAUCAUCUGCUUUGGGGCUUAUGGGGAAUCAUCUCGGGUCAUGUAAACAAGAUAGAUUUUGAUUACCUGGAGUAUGCGAGGCAGAGGUUUCAGCAGUACUGGUUAAGAAAGCCCUUGCUCUUGGGUUCCUGACUCGUUAGGCAUUGCCCAUGUUGACAAAUAACAAUGUAGCCUUAAGUGCAGCUAUAGAUUUGCAAAGGAAUGGGAAAGGAGUAUAAACAGUCUGUUGAAGGCAUCGAGGAUUUCCUGGGAAAUCAUCUUUGCAUCUUUUUGAUGAUUCCUUGAGCAAAAUGCUGCUGAAUUGGCCUAUGUCUUGAGUGUAGAAACAAAAGUCUUACAGAAUGAAUUGAAGAAUAAGAUGCUUUCUCAGUAAAAGAGGAUUUCUCUAUGGCAUUAUUUGAAAAUAUAAUUGCCUUCAAAGUGUCCAUUCUAAAGCAAAGCGCAUUAGCAGAAGCAUUGUAACAUAAAACUGCUUGACCAUUCGAAAAAUGGCAUUAGAUAAAAAUAACUAUAAGGAAUGUUUAUCUUUUUUCCCUACAUUAAAGGAAAAACUAAAGCAAAGAUUUGAACAGGAAUUUGCUUUUGUUAGGAGGCUUUGAGUUUAUGAAAUUUUACUUGCGAGGUGUGAGUUAAUUUAGGAUCAAUGUAGAUGGGCAUAGGGAUUUAAACAGCAAUAUUGGUGAAAUUAAUUAUGAUAGAGGUAAAAUUAAAAUCAAUGGUAAAGAUAUAUAUUUGGAUGCAAAUGUAGCAACAGCAGUGAGGUGAAAUGUAGUGAAGAAGAAAAGGAUCAUUAA